rnacentral:tRNA from 1 species
AGAGACUUAGGCUAACGAAAGACCAGGGGCCUUCAAAGCCCCCAGUGGAGGUUAAAACCCUCCAGUCCCUG